AUGCAAAACACAGAAUUCCCAAAAAUCCAAACCUCAAGAUCAUUUCCACAUAGAACGCUCAGAAUUCCCAAAAAUCUCAACAUCAGAAUUCUCACAUGGAACAUGCAGCAUUCCCUAAAAUCCCAACCUCAGCAAAAUUCCCACAUGGAACACACAGAAUUCCCAGAAAUCCCAAACUUAGCAUUCCCAAAAAUUCCAAGCUCAGAAUUCAUACAAGGAACACGCAGCAUUCCCAAAAAUCUGAAUUCCCCAAAAUCCCAAACUCAGAAUUCCCAAAAAUCCAAAUCUCAGCAUUCCAAAACCUCAAUCAGCAUUCCCAAAAAUCCCAAACUCAGGAUCAUUCCCACAGGGGCCAUGCAGCAUUCCCAAAAAUCUAAACCUCAGAAUUCCUGCAUGGAACACACAGAAUUCCCAAAAAUCCCUCGGAAUUCCCACAUGGAACACGCAGAAUUCCCAAAAAUUCCAGACUCAGAAUUCCCAAAAAUCCAAACCUCAGAAUUCUCAAAAAUCCCAAUCUCAGGAUCAUUCCCACAUGGAACACGCAGAAUUCCCAAAAAUCCCAACCUCAGCAUUCCCAAAAAUUCCAAACUCAGAAUACUCAAAAAUCUUAACCUCACCAGAAUUCCCACAUGGCACACACAGAAUUCCCAAAAAUCCCCUGGAAUUCCCAAAUGGAACACACAGAAUUCCCAAAAAUCCCAACCUCAGCAGAAAUCCAGCAUGGAACACGCAGAAUUCCCAAAAAUCCCAACCUCAGACUUCCCAAAAUCCCAACCUCAGAAUUCCCACAAUGAACACGCAGCAUUCCCAAAAAUCCCAACCUCAGAAUUCCAAAACCUGCAUCAGAAUUCCCAGAAAUCUCAACCUCAGGAUCAUUCCCACAUGGAGCGCACAGAAUUCCCAAAAAUCCAAACCUCAGCACUCAGAGUCAAUUCUGGGAAUGGGAAUUCCUGGCAAUGGGGAUUCCAGCCCGGAAUUCCAGGAAUUCCAAGGGAAUAUUCCCAAAAAUCCAAACCUUGGUCCUGUCCCUGUUCCCUGCAAUGGGAUCCCCCCAGUCCCCAUUUUCUCCGGGAUUUUUCUCCCCCCCCCUCAGCUGCUCCAGAAUUUUUCCAAAUCCAUCAUUUUUUCCCAAAAUCCAUCUUUUUUUUCCCCUCCCAAAUUUUCAUUUCCCCCUCAAAUCCAGGAUAA
rnacentral:lncRNA from 1 species